rnacentral:rRNA from 1 species
CCUACGGUGUGCAGCAGUGGGGAAUAUUGGGCAAUGGGCGCAAGCCUGACCCAGCAACGCCGCGUGAAGGAAGAAGGCUUUCGGGUUGUAAACUUCUUUUGACAGGGAAGAGUAGAAGACGGUACCUGUCGAAUAAGCCACGGCUACCUACGUGCCCGCAGCCGCGGUAAUACGUCGGUGGCAAGCGUGGUCCGGCUUUACUGGGUGUAAAGGGCGUGUAGCCGGGUUGACAAGUCAGAUGUGAAAUCCUUCGGCUUAACCGAAGAACUGCAUUUGAAACUGUUGAUCGUGAGUACUGGAGAGGCAGACGGAAUGCCUAGUGUAGCGGUGAAAGGCGUAGAGAGUAGGAGGAACACCAGUGGCGAAGGCGGUCUGCUGGACAGCAACUGACGGUGAGGCGCGAAAGCGUGGGGAGCAAACAGGAUUAGAUACCCCAGUAGUC